rnacentral:misc_RNA from 1 species
GAAGUGCGAUAAGUAAUGUGACUUGCAGAAUACCGUGAAUCAUCGAAUCUUUGAACGCAUAUUGCACUCUCAGGUAUUCCGGAGAGUAUGCCUGUUUGAGGGUCAGCUAAAAAAAAUCAAGCGUUAUUGCUUUUUUGUGAUGACGUUUGGAAUUGAGUCGUCUUAACCUCACGGUCAAGUGACUUAAAAUUUUUUAAUGUGAUUUUCGAAACGUAUUUAAUAUUUUACGUACGUUUGCGAUAUCAAUCUAUUAGAUGUGGUCAUUUUCCAUGAUUCGCGUCUAUAGUUUUUCAUUAAAUGACCUCAAAUCAGGUAAGAGUACCCGCUGAACUUAAGC